GAGCCCGACAAUUUCAAUUCAUCUUCAACUUCUCGAGUCUCUGAAAUCGGCUCUUCCACUCUGUCUUACAUCUCUGUAACCCUCUCUUAAUCAAUGAUACUUUUUAAUACCUUAUGGCUGUUUCGUUCCACCUUCCGUUCAUCCUACUCCUAUAUAUAUAUGGCUUCCUCUAAACCUAAAUCGUAUCAAAAUCGAAACCUAGCUGUAAGAGCAACUGAAACCACUAAUCGCGGUAGUACUCCUUCUGAUCGAUGAGCAGAUUGCUUUCAGUGGUGUAAUCUCAAAGAAGAUAUCUCAGAUUCUAUUGUCUUUGGAGCAUACCGUCAUAUCAAAAUCUGGUGGUGGAAAACUAGAUCUGCUUAUCUUGGAUACAUCGUUUAAGACAUGAUCACUCAACAGCACUUAUGUUUCCCAGGCCACAUGUUAGCUUAAUUUUAAAGAUUGUUUUCUCUCAUUUUAUGGUAUAUGCUUACUUUGAUUUGCGUAGACACUAGAGAAAAUCAAAAUUCUGUGUACUAAAAGAGGUAUUUUAGUCAGAAUGACUCACGAGUUUUAUCACCACAAGGACAGCGAGUGUCUUGAAGAGUGGUCUAAUAGGCACAAAAGUUUAGAAACCAUCACCAACUGUCUUAAUAAACCAUACGCAGAGUGAUAAUCUUAUUUGUUUGCUGCAGAUAAAUUUGAGCAUCUUCGGGAUAGUUUGCUGAAUUUGAACGACUUAUCUUGGUUUUGAUUAUCUGCGGCUGGAGGAAGCAGCGAGCAGACUUUCACCGGUCUGCUGGAAACCUUGCUAUAGGAGACUUCACUGCAGCAGUAAGGAAAUUCACAGAGGGCCAUUCAGAGUUUGUGAUGGGAUCCAUCUCGGUUAAUCCUGCGUCUUGGAAAAAUGGGAGAUGUGUAUCCGUCUAUGAUUCACGCAAUGCCUGGUGUUCAAGUGGUGAAAAAUGGUGAUGAACUUGGUCAACAAUACAACACUCCACACUCUGUGAGCUUGCUUCUAGCCUUAAUAUUCAUAGUUAGUACCUUGUGCGGUAUCUCAGGAAACUAUCGGUUUUGUGUAUGCUUCUUGACCUUCUGGAAUUUUUUGAUUUGAGGAACCUUUUUUUUUUUUUUUUUUUGGUAACAUGUUAAGCUAGAUUUGAGGAACCUUUCCUUUUGCAUGAUGUUUCAUCUUUGUAUUUUUAUUGAUUUUAAUUUCUUUUAAAAA